UAUUUUUAAAGAAAAAUACUGUUUAGUCGAUUACUACAGCAAAAAAGACUGUCAAAUUGUGAUUGCAAAUACACUAAAGCAUGCACCUGGAU